rnacentral:rRNA from 1 species
GACGAACGCUGGCGGCGUGCUUAACACAUGCAAGUCGAACGGAAAGGCCCUGCUUUUGUGGGGUGCUCGAGUGGCGAACGGGUGAGUAACACGUGAGUAACCUGCCCUUGACUUUGGGAUAACUUCAGGAAACUGGGGCUAAUAACGGAUAGGAGCUCUUGCUGCAUGGUGGGGGUUGGAAAGUUUCGGCGGUUGGGGAUGGGCUCGCGGCUUAUCAGCUUGUUGGUGGGGUAGUGGCUUACCAAGGCUUUGACGGGUAGCCGGCCUGAGAGGGUGACCGGCCACAUUGGCACUGAGGUACGGCCCAGACUCCUACGGGAGGCAGCAGUGGGGAAUAUUGCACAAUGGGCUGAAGCCUGAUGCAGCAACGCCGCGUGCGGGAUGACGGCCUUCGGGUUGUAAACCGCUUUCGCCUGUGACGAUGCGUGAGUGGCGUCAAUGGGUAAAGAAGCACCGGCUAACUACGUG